CUAGGGAGAACGGAGCUCCAGGAACAGACGGAGGCGUAGAAGAGCAGAGCGAGCGCCCUCCUCUGGCCGCUCUGCGGAUUUCACUUCAAGGAACGCGCUCCUGCUCGGAUGUUCUUUUCCAAAUUCGCAGAUUUCCCAGGGUUGUUUCCGGUAUGAGCGGCGGGACUCCCCUUGGAGCUGAAUUGAGGUUAAUGUGCCAGAGCAGCGGUCACGUUUCGAGGGCUGCUUGCUUCAUGCCGGGAGAGCUUGUUUCUAAAUUUAUUUAUUUUAUCCACUAAAGGCAGGCUGUUUUAAAAAGCAAACUCGCAGCCUCGGCUAGGUGCUGGAUCCGUAGGUCCUGCUUUUCAAGGGCUCGCCAAAGGUGGCUUUUGAAAUAGGGCGACCCCUUUGUGUAGCGGAGAGAAACACGGUGUUUCAUGGAGCUUGGCCAUGGCUAGGAAGAAAACUAUUGAAACCUUGCUCGCAGCCUCACCAUUUACUGAGAUUUGGUUGUUGGAGAUUGGAGGCAGGGCCUUCUCGGUUGUGGCCACUCAACUCUGGAAUGCCCUCCAAGAAGAGCUUCACUGUGCUGAAAAAAAUAUUUAAACUCAUCUGUUUAUAGAGGCUUUUAAAUGUAUUUUACUAUAGCUUGAAUCUGAUGGGUUUCCAAUUAUUUAAAAACUAGUUUAAUUGAGUCUGUUUUAGCUGAUCUUCUAUUAAAUUUUAUACUGUUUAGUGUUUCAUCUGUUUUAUUGCUUAAUGUUAUAUUAUUUUAAUUUAAUGUUUUAUAGUUAUUAUUGUAAGCUAUACCCAAGCAAUAUUUCAUGAGAAGGGCAGUGUGUGUGUGUGUGUGUGUGUGUGUGUGUGUGUGUGUAUAUACACACACUAAAUUUCAAUUAUCAAUAAUCGUGCCUCGGAUUAACUUCAUUGGCUAUGAUACUGCCACUGUGCAAAGCAUUUUAUGAUGUAUUUUUCUUUUCUCUUUCUUUUCUGGUCAUUGAUCGAAAUAAAAGCUGACUGACUGACACUAAA